UACAGGGGGUGCAAACGUUGCUCGGAAUUAUUGGGCGUAAAGCGCGCGUAGGCGGUUACUUAAGUCGGAUGUGAAAGCCCUUGGCUCAACUGAGGAAGAGCAUCCGAAACUGAGUAGCUAGAGUCUCAAAGAGGGUCGCGGAAUUCCCGGUGUAGCAGUGAAAUGCGUAGAUAUCGGGAGGAACACCUGUGGCGAAAAGCGGCUCUCUGGACCACAACUGACGCUGAGGCGCGAAAGCUAGGGGAGCAAACAGG
rnacentral:rRNA from 1 species